UAAAGAUUGUUCAUUUCCCAUUCAGCAAGCUGUAUCUUGUUUGUUUUCACAGCAGUUGAGAAUUUGCCAUCAUGAUUUUAACCAUUUUUGAAAUUCUAGCAUAGUGCUCACAUCGCGCCCCUAAAUAUUUAUACACAGAAUACCUUAUCUCCUACAGCUAACUCAUUUUCUGAUUUGUCAGUUUUAUGGAAACCUGAGAGAUCCAAACAGGCUCACAUUUCUAAGCAAAAGCAAAUAGUAAUUUUCUCCUUCUCCACCCAUGGGUUAGUCAAAGUAGGGACUUUUUCUAAGAGUAGAGAUAUUUGCCAUCUUUAGAUGGUUUCAACAUGAAAAUGCAAUGGUUCAUAAUACUUUUCAUUCAACUUUUAAGUUGCAGAUUGAAAAACAAGUGAUCAAGCAAGUGCAGAGAGUGCCUUGAAAUGAAAAGUUCCAUGCUUGGCACCAAGAUUAGGUCUGCCAAGGAGUCCGAAAUUCCACCUCUCACUCCUUUAAGAAACCGUACUACACAAAGCCUCCACUGAAACACAAAUAGAAGGACAGUUGAACCGACGUGCAGCUGGGUCUGUGCUGUGAAUCUCUUUGGGGUGCAUCUAUUUAGGUAGGAUAUUUACAGUGACAAUUCCGUAGGGUAGAAACUUUAUCCACGGUAUUCUUGUGAGAUCUCCACCUUUGUAGUGUUGUGUGCAAGUGUUUGAACUGAAUUUCCUUAGCAUGUCUUACCCUGUUUCCUAUGUAUUUGGGGGCUUCCAGGGAGGGAGGACCCUCGGUGUGGACAGUGGC
rnacentral:lncRNA from 1 species